GACGAACGCUGGCGGUGUGCUUAACACAUGCAAGUCGAACGGUAAGGCCCUUUCGGGGGUACGCGAGUGGCGAACGGGUGAGUAACACGUGAGUAACCUGCCCUCAUCUCUGGGAUAACAGUCGGAAACGGUUGCUAAUACUGGAUAUGAGCUUGCAAGGCAUCUUGUGGGUUGGAAAGAUUUUUUUUGGUUGGGGAUGGGCUCGCGGCCUAUCAGCUUGUUGGUGAGGUAGUGGCUCACCAAGGCUUCGACGGGUAGCCGGCCUGAGAGGGCGACCGGCCACAUUGGGACUGAGAUACGGCCCAAACUCCUACGGGAGGCAGCAGUGGGGAAUAUUGCACAAUGGACGGAAGUCUGAUGCAGCAACGCCGCGUGCGGGAUGACGGCCUUCGGGUUGUAAACCGCUUUCAAUUGUGACGAAGCUUUUUUGUGACGGUAGCAGUAGAAGAAGCACCGGCUAACUACGUG
rnacentral:rRNA from 1 species